GCUCUUCUGGUUCUUAGGCCUUAAGACUCACCAUCUGCUAUCCUGAGUCUCCAGAUUUUGAAUGCAGAUCUUGGGACUUGUCAGCCUGCAUAAUCAUGUGAGUUAAUUCUUUAUUUUCUACACACACACACAUACAUACAUACAUCCAAUAUGGUUCUGUUUCUCCAGAGAAGCUAAUAAGACUAAUAAUAUUAGUCUCUAACUAAUAUACCCAGAGACUUCUAGGAUUUGAUUACCAUCCUUGAAUUGAUGAGGGACCGUAAAAAACAAUGUAUACAGGGUAGGUUUUUAAAUCCGUGGAAUGGAAGGUAGUUAACCUUAUUGACAAGAAAUUCCUUCUGUGCUAGGUUGUUUGAAUGAAUCCGAAGUGAAAGCUGUUGUUUCUGCUUCCAAAAAGGCUUGAUCUCAGUUUGUCACUUGCCUGCAAUGUUUUCCAUUACUGUGCACUGUUUGAAAAUGCCUUGAUGGCGAUAAUCAUUGGGCUCCUGGAGUGUGAUCAGUGUGCACGAUUGAGCAUACUUUAUGUGAAAAUAAAAUGCCUAUACCCUG
rnacentral:lncRNA from 1 species